UACCGAGGAUCCGGAGCGGUUAUACCGGGAUUUAUUGGGUUUAAAGGGUGCGCAGGCGGGAGAUUAAGUCGGCGGUGAAAUUUUGCAGCUUAACUGUAAAAGUGCCAUCGAUACUGGUUUCCUUGAGUGUAGAUGAAGUAGGCGGAAUUUGUGGUGUAGCGGUGAAAUGCAUAGAUAUCACGAGGAACUCCGAUUGCGCAGGCAGCUUACUAAACUACUACUGACGCUCAGGCACGAAGGCGUGGGGAUCAAACAGGAUUAGAUACCCCGGUA
rnacentral:rRNA from 1 species